CGCGCAUGAUGACAGCCUAGGACUGCUGUGAAACGCCGAUCUCGGUGGGGAAGCCAACCUUGGAGAGCUGAGCGCGCC
rnacentral:snoRNA from 12 species